rnacentral:tRNA from 1 species
UUCCCUGUGGCUCAGUUGGUAGAGCAUGGUGUUUGCAACACCAGGGUUGUGGGUUUGAUUCCCACCGGGGGGC